rnacentral:rRNA from 1 species
CCUACGGGAGGCAGCAGUAGGGAAUUUUGCGCAAUGGGCGAAAGCCUGACGCAGCAACGCCGCGUGAUCGAGACGCCCUUCGGGGUGUAAAGAUCUGUCAGUGGGGACGAAACUUGACGGUACCCACAGAGGACGCCCCGGCUAACUCCGUGCCAGCAGCCGCGGUACUACGGGGGGUGCAAGCGUUGUCCGGAAUCAUUGGGCGUAAAGGGUUCGUAGGCGGCACGUAAAGUCUGGUGUUAAAGGCAGAGGGUCAACUUCUGUACGGCACUGGAUACUUGCGAGCUAGAAUGCGGUAGAGGUAAGUGGAAUUCCUGGUGUAGCGGUGAAAUGCUUAGAUAUCAGGAGGAACAUCGGUGGCGUAGGCGCUUUACUGGGCCGUAAUUGACGCUGAGGAACGAAAGCCAGGGUAGCAAAUGGGAUUAGAUACCCCUGUAGUC